UUAUCCUUGUCAUAACCUCGGUUAACACAGUUAGCUUUGCACGCAAUGUUGCCACUAGCUCGGUCUGGUGGCGAACAAUUGUCCACAGUUGUACACAGGUCAUUAUCUGUGCACAAAUCACAAUAGAGAUACCUCAAUCAACACAUAUAACCCACCAGGAAAAUAUAUGUUUCUGUAUCCAAAUACGAGUGAAGAGAUUGUGAAAGAAAGAAGAAAACCAUACCUACAUAACGCCCUGCUGCAUGACAUGAGAAGACAGUGGUGGUCAUGGCUACAAGAGCUACCAAGCAUACGGCCUGUGUGUAGUUCCGCAUACCGGCCAUGGGAGAUAGUUAGCUAUUCCUUUUUUGCUAAUGUUGUUCGUUGAUUUUGCCGAAUUCAUGUUCUUUGCCUAGGUGCUUGCGUUUAUAUUGAGGGAAAGCUAGCAGUCUUGGAUCUCUUAAUACAGAAGAAAAACUUGGAGUAAAUUUAUUUCUUUCCUCCUAUAGUUUUGUAGUAAAUAAAUGCCUCUUUGUACAAAGGCUUGCUAUAAUCUCCACAAUAAAUUCUUGCCAUUUAAUCAUAUUAUGUAUUAAUGCAUCCUUAUCCGCAUUGUGUUAAUGAUGUCGUAUCCUCAUUAAUACAUGCUUGGUAUAUGAGCCUAUUAUACAUGUGGUUUAACUUAUCCCAUGGUAGUUCUGAUUUACAGUGCCCUCACCCACACUCAUUAUAGAAAAAGUAGAGUUGUCCUCACGAGUAGGGAUGAAAACAAAGCAAAAAUGCAUGAAACUAAGUGUUGCCAUAUUAUUCUUUAUUUUUUCUGAAUGCAUAACUGAAUAUAAAAACCAAGCAAAUGAAUAUAGAAACAUAUCGUAUUGGAAAUAGAUACAUACCAAAUAAGAUAUCUACACAAAUACAAAAGCUAUGGAUGGGUGGUUGACACAGUGCCAUCAGGACAGUAGUCUGGUGUCCCUAACACUUGGUUGCGCUAAUAGGCUACUCGAUUACUUGAUUUAGUAGUAGAACAUAUUAGGUUGAGUUUCUUUCAUAGAGAUUGACAAGGGCCUGCAUGACAAGGCCUAAUGGAGCUGUAAUGUCCACACUAUGAUGGAAAGUUUUUUAUUUGGGGAAGGGUAAAUUCCAUUUCCAUAUCCAUUCCACCAAAAAUUGAUGUUCUAUCCACUUAAAGAUUUAUGUUUUUGUUUCCUUAUUUGUGGAAAACAUAAAUAUUGAACAUUUAAGUGUCGAUUUCAUUCCUACUACUGAGAGUGCGCGUCUAUGACGGGAUAGAAAUUUUUGGUAUUUUUCCCGAUCAAUACAAAACACUUAAUGAAGUUUCACCUCAUCACAAUGAAAGGGGUAAUAGUUAUGAAAAUCUUACAUGGGUAAUAGUUAUGAAAAAUCCAGUUCGUAGGCUCGUCAUGGUCCUGUAACAUGACCUACAGAACCGGAUUACCGUACCACUCUGUUGUGGAUCUUACUCUGGUUGACCUACGAGGUUCGGUAGCAACUUGAUCAGACAUUUCAUGAUCAUCAUCAUUAGCUUCCUCACUUACUGGUGUUGGAAUCAUUGGAACUGAUUUCAGUGAUGAACUACUUUCCAAUAAAGGAGCAGGUACAAUUACCUCAUCAAGUUCUACUUUCCUCCCACUCACUUCUUUCGAGAGAAACUGCUUCUCUAGAAAGGAUCCAUUCUUAGCAACGAAUAUAUUGCCUUCGGAUCUAUGAUAGAAGGUGUACCCAACAGUAUCCUUUGGGUUUCCUUUGAAGACACAUUUCUCCGAUUUGGGUUCGAGCUUAUCAGGUUGAAGAUUUUUUCACAUAAGCAUCACAGCCCCAAACUUUAAAAACGACAACUUGGGUUUCUUGGCAAACCACGGUUCAUAAGGUGUCGUCCCAAUAGAUUUAGAUGGUGCUCUAUUUAACAUGAAUGCGGCUGUCUCUAAAGCAUAACCCCAAAACGAUAGUGGUAAAUCAGUAAGAGACAUCAUAGAUCGCACCAUAUCUAGUAAAGUAUGAUUACGAUGUUUGGAUACACCAUUACGAUGUGGUUUUCUGGGUGGCGUGAGUUGCGAAACUAUUCCGCAUUGUUUCAAAUGAAAACCAAACUCGUAACUCAAAUAUUCUCCUCCACGAUCAGAUCAUAGAAACUUUAUUUUCUUGUUACGAUGAUUUCCACUUCACUCUGAAAUUCUUUGAACUUUUCAAAUGUUUCAGACUUAUGUUUCAUUAAGUAUGAUCUCCAAUAACUCUGUUGCUCGCUCCAUUGUUCCGGAGAACUGAGUUUUAGUCAUCUUACACAUGAGGCAUGGUUCGCAAGUACCAAGUGAUUUAUAAUCAAGUGAUUCCAUAAGUCCAUCAGAAUGGAGUUUCUUCAUGCGCUUUACACCAAGAUGACCCAAACGGCAGUGCCCCAAAUAAGUUGCACUAUCAUUAUCAACUCUGCAUCUUUUGGAUUCAAUACUAUGAUCAUGUAUAUCACUACUAUCAAGAUUUAGUAAAAGUGGACCACUCAUCAAGGGUGCAUGACCAUAAAAGAAACUCCUCAUAUAAAUAGAAGAACCAUUAUUCUCUGAUUUCAAUGAAUAACCGUCUCGCAUCAAAAAGAUCCAGAUAUAAUAUUCAUGCUCAACGCUGGCACAAAAUAACAAUUAUUUAGGUCUAAAACAAAUCCCAAAGGUAGAUGUAGAGGUAGCGUGCUGACGGCGAUCACAUCGACUUUGGAACCAUUUCCCAUGUGCAUCGUCACCUCGUCCUUAGCCAAUCUUCGCUUAAUCCGUAGCCCCUGUUUCGAGUUGCAAAUAUUAGCAACAGAACCAAUAUCAAAUACCCAGGCACUACUGCGAGCAUUAGUAAGGUACACAUCAAUAACAUGUAUAUCAAAUAUACCUUUCGCUUUGCCAUCCUUCUUUUCCGCCAAAUACUUGGGGCAGUUCCGCUUCCAGUGACCAGCCCUUUGCAGUAGAAGUACUCAGUUUCAGGCUUAGGUCAGGACUUGGGCUUCUUCACUUGAGCAGCAACUGGCUUGCUGUGCUUCUUGAAGUUCCCCUUCCUCCCUUUACCCUUUUUCUUGAAACUGGUGGUCUUGUUGACCAUCAAACAAUUGCUUGGCUUGUCAUCGAGGUUGUGCAUGAUUUAAAUAUUUUGUGUGAUGAAGAUAGAGCAUAGCCAGACUAUAUGAUUUUGUAGGGACAGCUUUCUUUGGCCAUGUUAUUUUGAGAAGACAUGGUUGCUUUGUUGGUAUGCUUGAAGUAUUAUUAUUUUCAUGUCAAUAUUAAACUUUUGUCUUGAAUCUUAUGGAUCUGAAUAUUAAUGCCACAAUAAAGAGAAUUACUUGGAUAAAUAUGUUAGGUAGCAUUCCACAUCAAAAAUUCCGUUUUUACCAUUUACCUACUCGAGGACGAGAAGGAAUUAAGCUUGGGGAUGCUGAUACGUCUGCAACGUAUCUAUAAUUUUUUAUUGUUCCAUGCUAUUAUAUUAUCUGUUUUGGAUGUUUAUGGGCUUUAUUAUACACUUUAAUAUUAUUUUUGGGACUAACAAAUUAACCGGAGGCCCAGCCCAAAUUGCUGUUUUCUUGCCUAUUUCAAUCGAAGAAAAGGAAUAUCAAACAGAGUCCAAACGGAAUGAAACCUUCGGGAGAGUUAUUUUUGGAACAGAAGCAAUCCAGGAGACUUGGAGUAUACGUUAGGGAAGGUUCGAGGUGGCCAUGAGGCAGGGAGGCGCGCCUGCCCCCUAGGCGUGCCCCCACCCUCGUGGGCCCCUCGUGGCUCCCUUGACUGACUUCUUUCACCUAUAUAUAUAGCAACAUACCCUAAAAACACCAGGGAGCAGAAUAGAUCGGGAGUUCUGCCGCCAGAAGCCUCCGUAGCCACCGAAAACCAAUCUAGACCCGUUCCGGCACCCUGCCGGAGGGGGGAAUCCCUCUCCGGUGGCCAUCUUCAUCAUCCCGGCGCUCUCCAUGACGAGGAGGGAGUAGUUCACCCUCGGGGCUGAUGGUAUGUACCAGUAGCUAUGUGUUUGAUCUCUCUCUCUCUCUCUCUCUCGUGUUCUUGAGGUGGUACAAUCUUGAUGUAUCGUGAGCUUUGCUAUUACAGUUGGAUCUUCUGAUGUUUCUCCCCCUCUACUCUCUUGUAAUGGAUUGAGUUUUCCCUUUGAAGUUACCUUAUCGGAUUGAGUCUUUAAGGAUUUGAGAACAAUUGAUGUAUGUCUUGCACGUGCUUAUCUGUGGUGACAAUGUGAUAUCACGUGAUCCACUUGAUGUAUGUUUUGGUGAUCAACUUGCGAGUUUCGUGACCUCGUGAACUUAUGCAUAGGGGUUGGCACACGUUUCUGUCUUGACUCUCUGGUAGAAACUUUGGGGCACUCUUUGAAGUUCUUUGUGUUGGUUGAAUAGAUGAAUCUGAGAUUGUGUGAUGCAUAUCGUAUAAUCAUACCCACAGAUACUUGAGGUGACAUUGGAGUAUCUAGGUGACAUUAGGGUUUUGGUUGAUUUGUGUCUUAAGGUGUUAUUCUAGUACGAACUCUAUGAUAAAUUGAACGGAAAGAAUAGCUUCGUGUUAUUUUACUAUGGACUCUUGAAUAGAUCGAUCAGAAAGGAUAACUUUGAGGUGGUUUCGUACCCUACCAUAAUCUCUUCAUUUGUUCUCCGCUAUUAGUGACUUUGUAGUGACUCUUUGUUGCAUGUUGACGGAUAGUUAUAUGAUCCAAUUAUGUUAUUAUUGUUGAGGGAACUUGCACUAGUGAAAGUAUGAACCCUAGGCCUUGUUUCAACUCAUUGCAAUACCAUUUGUGCUAACUUUUAUCAUUAGUUGCCUUGCUGUUUUUAUAUUUUCAGAUUACAAAAACCUAUAUCUAUCAUCCAUAUUGCACUUGUAUCACCAUAUCUUUGCCGAACUAGUGCACCUAUACAAUUUACUAUUGUACUGGGUGUGUUGGGGACGCAAGAGAUUCUUUGUUAUUUGGUUGCAGGGUUGUUUGACAGAGACCAUCUUCAUCUUACGCCUCCCACGGAUUGAUAAACCUUAGGUCAUCCACUUGAGGGAAAUUUGCUACUGUCCUACAAACCUCUGCACUUGGAGGCCCAACAACGUCUACAAGAAGAAGGUUGUGUAGUAGACAUCAGGAGCCCAUAGAGUUUCCUUUGAUGCACCAACCUGGAGUCUAGGAAAGAGCAUGGCCGCUCACAUUGCCAUGGGACGCAUCGGCGAAGUUUACCACAAGGAUCUUAAGGACACCAUCUACUAGAUAUGUGGAUGCCGAGAUGAGCAAUGGGAGAUGAUCAGCACCAGGAGGGACAAGUCCAUUGCAGCCUACAUCCAGGAGUUAAACCAACAGAUUCAUCAUCGGGAGAACCAUAUGUGCGCCAGCAUGAUGGACCUGAAGAAGGUGAUGACCAGGAACAUGGAGCUAGAAGAGGAACUCAAGUCUACACGCGAUGGAUAUGAAUACGAAAUUGCAGUACUACUGGAGAAGAAUGAAGAUCUGAAGAAGAGGCUAGGAGUAUUCAUGGGAGACCCUGCGCCAGGAGGUGACGGCCAUCCCGAAGACUACAUCAUCAUCGACGACACCGACUCCGACCCCGACAGUGAUGACGACUGUGAAGACGAAGCUGGAGAAGAUAUCAUGGAGUCUUUUUCCAAUCAAAAUUUUUAGUCGACCACCAUAUUAUCAGUAGUAUUCCCCCAUAGUAGUAAUCCGAGUAUUUUGUAACGGUAGCAAGAUCGACUGUAUGCCCUUGUUUGAAUUGAGUGAUGUGAUAUGAUUGUGUUUGUAUCAUGUGCAUAUGAGUAGUGAUUUUCUAAGGUUGAAUCCGCUGGUGUUUUCCAGUAGCACCGAGCUUAUAGUUGCUAAUGACUGGCUCCGCAGGAUUCGAAGGGAUAUAACCACCACAGGUUGCACAGAUGCUAAGAAGGUAUUCUUUUCCACACAACAAUUGGAUGGACCAGCAGCCUCAUGGUGGGAGAAUUACACAACCACUUUUCCCAUAGCCAAUGUCACAUGGGAUCAGUUUUAGCAAGCUUUUCGGUACUACGGGCCCAUGUCUCAACUGGAGCAAUGAGUAUGAAGAAGCGCGAGUUUCGCAACUUACUCCAGGGAAAUCGUACUGUGUGGCAGUAUGUGGAUGAGUUUAGUAGGUUAGCUCGUUAUGCCCCGGACGAUGUGGUCACAGAUGCCGCGAAGCAGAAGAAGUUUAUGGAAGGGCUGAAUGAUGAGCUGAGCAUGCAGUUGAUGGUGGCAACAUUCAAUAACUAGCAGGAUUUGGUAGAUAGGGCCCUUAUGAUUGAAGGCAAGCCGCAACAAAUAGAGAGCCGCAAAAGGAAGUACGGACAAGGAAGUAUAAUUCUGGAGCUCAGCAGAAGCCCUGUUUUAUCCCGAACUCGGGAGGACAGACUCAUUACCAUGGAGGCCAUACCCAUAAUGGAGGGAGUUUGCAUAACCAUUGUGUCCCUAAGAAUAGGAAUGGGAAUGGAGGGAGCAACAGACAUAACCGUUCCAACCCAGCAACACCCGCCAGGAAGGAUCUAAGUCACAUUACUUGUUUCAAGUGCGGGAAGACUGGACACUAUGCCACUGAAUGUCCUGAAGCAAAGAUUGGAAAUGGCAAUGGAAGCUCAGGGAAGAAGCCAAACCCUUUCAUGAGAGGUCAGGUGAACCACAUCAACGUGGAGGAGGUUGAAGAACGGCCUGAUGAAGUGAUCGGUAAGUUUUUGAUUAAGUCAUUUACCGGUCUCGCUCUUUUUGACACUGGUGCAUCACAUUCAUACAUAUCAAGGGUAUUUGUGGACAAGUUUAAGUUGCCAACCUUAGGCCUUAGGUCACCCAUGGUGUGAUCGGCCCUAAUUAUUGGUAGCCACGUUUUCCCCUCAGACCUAAUAAUUUUGGAGUCCCAAGGAUUGGAUAUAAUAUUAGGCAUGGAUUGGUUAUUGAAGUAUGGAGGAAACAUCGAUUGUACUAGUAAGUCAAUUUUACUCACCACCCCGGAGGGAAUGAGGAUCAAGUAGGUGUCUAGGCAUGCGCCAAGGAGGACCCAAGUGAAUUCUCUCUCAGGAGUUGUUCAGGAAGAAGUGCCUGUUGUGAAGGAUUACCUGGAUGUAUUUCCAGAGGAGCUACCAGGCAUGCCGCCAGAUCGAGACAUGGAAUUUUUUGAUAGAGAUCUUGCCACGCACCGGACCAAUAUCAAAGAGACCGUAUCGGAUGCCCGCAAAUGAUCUAGAGGAAAUUAACAAGCAGAUUAAGGAGUUAUUGGAGAAGGGUUAUACCUGACCAAGUUCAUCAUCGUGAGGAGCCCCGGUGCUCUUAGUUGAGAAGAAGGAUGGAUCUUUGAGAAUGGUUGUUGAUUAUCGGGCAUUGAAUGAAGUGAUAAUCAAGAACAAAUACUCACUCCCGAUGAUCAAUGAUCUAUUUGACCAGUUGCAAGGAGCUAAAGUAUUCUCCAAGAUCGACCUUCAAUCAGGAUACCACCAGCUAAAGAUCCGAGAACAUGAUAAACCUAAGACAGCUUUUACCACAAGGUACGGGCUAUAUGAGUACACGGCCAUGUCAUUUGGAUUGACUAAUGCCCCUGCCUAUUUUAUGAGUAUGAUGAACAAGAUGUUCAUGGAGUUUUUGGAUAAGUUUGUUGUGGUGUUCAUUGAUGAUAUUUUGCUGUACUUGAAUAAUGAAGAGGAACACAAGGAACACUUGCACUUAGUUCUCGAGAAGCUCAGAGAACAUCAGCUAUAUGCCAAGUUCAGCAAGUGUGAGUUUUGGUUGAAGGAAGUUGGAUUUCUUGGACAUGUUAUAUCAGGAGAAGGUAUAGCCAUUGAUCCUACGAAGGUUCAGUCUGUCACUGAGUGGUUGGCACCCACCUCAGUUGGAGAGAUCCGCAGGUUUCUAGGACUUGCAGGAUAUUACAGGAGGUUCAUUGAGAAUUUCUCCAAGAUUGCAAAACCCAUGACAGAGUUGUUGAAGAAGGACACCAAGUUCAAAUGGACCGCGGAUUGUGAGGCAAGUUUUCAGGAGUUGAAGAAACGUUUGGUUACAGCCCUAGUGCUGAUUCUUCCGGAUAUACUCGAGGAUUUCCAAGUUUAUUGUGACGCUUCUCAUUUGGAACUUGGAGGUGUACUUAUGCAAAACAGAAUAGUUGUUUCAUAUGCCUCACGGCAGCUUCGACCUCACGAGUUGAAUUAUGCCACACAUGAUUUGGAGUUAGCAGCCGUAGUGCAUGCACUCAAGAUGUGGAGACAUUUUCUGAUUGGAAAUAGAUGUGAUUUGUACACGGAUCACAAUAUUUUGAAGUACAUUUUCUCGCAGAAGGAGUUGAAUCUCAUGUAGAGGAGAUGGUUGGAGCUCAUAAAGAAUUAUGAUAUGAAGUUGCAUUAUCAGCUAGGCAAGGCCAAUGUCUUAGCAGACGCUUUGAGCCGCAAGAGUUAUGCCAAUACGCUCGUAAGCGGAGGAUUACCGCACGAGUUAGUAGAUGAUCUCAAGGAACUUCGUUUGGAGAUAGUUCCAAGAGGUUUCGUUGCAACAAUGGAGGUUCAGUCUACAUUAUUGGGAAAGAUUCAAGGAGCUCAGAAGGAUGAUAAGGAAAUUGCUGAGAUUAAGGAGAAGAUGAGCAAAGGAAAAGCCAAAGAUUUUCGUGAGGAUGAACAUGAGACUUUAUGGUUUGGAGAUCGCGUAUACGUUCCCAAUAAUGCGGAGAUCAGGAAGUUAAUACUUCAGGAAGCUCAUGACUCGCCAUACUUGAUUCACCCCAGAAACACCAAGAUGUAUUUGGAUUUGAAGGAGCGUUUCUGGUGGACAGGUAUGAAGAAGGAUAUUGCCAAGUAUGUAGCAGUAUGCGAUGUGUGUCAGAGAGUGAAGGCAGAGCAUCAGAAGCCAGCUGGAUUAUUACAGCCCAUGACGAUACCCGAUUGCAAGUGGGACAAGAUUGGCAUGGAUUUCAUCACCGGAUUUCCCAGGACCUGAUCAGGAUAUGAUUCCAUCUGGGUAGUAGUUGAUCACCUGACCAAGGUAGCUCACUUUAUCCCAUUGAAAUCCACCUAUACAAGCGCGUAGUUGGCCAAGAUAUAUAUGACCAGGAUCGUAUGUCUGCAUGGAGUUCCGAGGACCAUCGUAUCAGAUAGAGGGACACAGUUUAGCUCGAAGUUUUGGAAUCAAUUGCACCAGACUUUGGGUACUAGGCUGGAGUUCAAUAUAGCCUUUCAUCCGCAGACAGAUGGACAGACCGAGAGAUUCAAUCAGAUUCUAGAGGACAUGUUGAGAGCUUGUGCGCUAGAUUAUAGAUCUGGUUGGGAUGAUAAUUUACCUUACGCUGAGUUCUCAUAUAACAACAGUUAUCAGGAUAGUUUGAUGAUGUCACCUUUUGAAGCCUUGUAUGGAAGGAGAUGCAGGACACCAUUAAUGUGGGAUGAAGUUGGAGACCAUUAGUUGUUUGGACGGGAUUUUAUCAAAGAGUCCGAAUAGAAGGUUAAGUUGAUUCGAGAUAGACUGAAGGUAGUUCAGUCCAUGCAGAAGAGUUAUGCCGACACUAAACGCAAGGAUGUAGUCUAUGAAAAAGGAGAUAGAGCAUAUCUUCGUGUGUUGCCACUCCGAGGAGUUAAAAGAUUUGGAGUUAAGGGAAAGUUAGCCCCGAGAUUUGUAGAACCAUACCGAGUUCUGGAACGUAUGGGAGAGGUUGCCUACAAAUUGGAGUUACCCGAAGGAUUGUCAGGAGUUCAAGAUGUGUUUCACGUUUCCCAGUUGAAGAAGUGCCAUGCUGAGAUGGCCGAUAUUCCCCUAAGAGAUACAGUGCCUCUGGAAGCAAUUCAGUUGGAGAGUGAUCUAAACUACGAGGAGAAACCUGUCAAGAUUCUUGAGUUUGCCAGCCGAGUUACCCGCAACAAUGUUAUCAAGUUUUGCAAAGUUCAGUGGAGCCACCAUACCGAGGAUGAAGCCACCUGGGAGCGAGAAGAAGACCUACGGAAAGACCACCCACACCUAUUUUCUAGCCCACCCGAAUCUUGAGGGCAAGAUUCAUCUUAAGGAGGGUAGGUUUGUAACAUCCCAAUUUUCAAUUUGGAUGUUAUACAUAGGUCAUCAUAUGCAUAUCAUAUUUUAUUUUCAUAUUUGGUUGUGAUCCUAGAAAUCUUAAGCAACUCAAGGACCCAAGGAGAGAGUUGGAGAUUUCAUAUAUUUUCAUAUUUGAGUUUUUCUCAAAUUUGAAAAGAGGAUCCAUUUGGUUUUAAUAUUUUUCUCUCUAAUUAUUUCCAAUAUUUAAAUUAAAAGAGAGAAGAUAAUAUGACUUCUUCAAAAAGAGAGGAAUAUUGGAGGAGAAAUUUUAAAAUCAAAUUUAUAUUUUAUUUGGUUUUUAUUUGAUAUUUUGUUUGAAUUAGAAAAGUAUGCAUUUUUGGAAAUUGCAAUUUUAGCCAAGAAAAAUGUUCACUUCGUUCUAAAUAAUAGGUUUAGACGGAGAAAAUUGUUUUGGCAUUUUUUUAGAAUUUUUUUUAUAUUUUAUUAGGAUUUUAUUCGGGCGGAAUUUUAUUUAAAAAAUCCUUCCCUCGCCCAACUGGGCCGAAGGCCUAGCCGAGCGGCCCAGCAGCCCACCUCGCCGCCGCCUUCCUCUUGCGCGGGGAGGAGACCCGCCGCCGCAUGCCACCGAGGGGAGUCCGAGCCGGACUCCACCCCGCGCCGCCCCCUCGCCCAAGGCUGACCCCCUGGCCUUUAUAGCCAUUGCCGCCGCCUCCUCCCUCACCCCGAGCUAACGCACCACCGUCGUCGAGCCGCGCCGUUGCCUCCUUUGCACCACCGAGCCGUGCCGCUGCCGCCAGCUGCUGCCGCGCCGCCUCACCCGUGCCGCCGCCUUUCCUCGUCUAUGAUGGAGCUAUUGUGUUCGAGCCCUCGAGGCCCCUGGCUUAUAAUAUGAUGCUUGUAUGACUUAUUUUAUUUGUAGAGUUGUGUUGUGAUAUCUUCCCGUGAGUCCCUGAUCUUGAUCGUACACAUUGCGUGUAUGAUUAGUGUACGGUCAAAUCGGGGGCGUCACAAUAUGCCUCCAAGACAUGACCCCGUAUUUGUUUUCCCACCGGAGCUCACCCAGUUGAUCCAGCAGCAGAAUGCCUUGAUGCAGCUACUAGUCCAGAACCAAGGCAACAACAACAACAACAACAACAACAAUAACAACCCACCGCCACCACCUCCAGUAGACAAAUUAGCCUAUUUUCCGAGGUUGAAUCCGCCGGUGUUUUCCAGUAGCACCGAGCCAAUAGUUGCUGAUGACUGGCUCCGCAGGAUUCGAAGGGAGCUGACAAUCGCAGGUUGCACAUAUGCUAAGAAUGUGCGCUUUGCCACACAUCAAUUGGAUGGACCAGCAGCCUCAUGGUGGGAUAAUUACACAACCACUUUUCCCAUAGCCAAUGUCACAUGGGAUCAGUUUCAGCAAGCUUUCCGUACCGCCCAUGUCUCAACUGGAGCAAUGAGUAUGAAGAAGUGUGAGUUUCGCAACUUACACCAGGGAAAUCAUACUAUGGCGUAGUACGUGGAUGAGUUUAGUAAGUUAGCUUGUUAUGCCCCGGACGAUGUGGCCACAGAUGCCGCGAAGCAGGAGAAGUUUAUGGAAGGGCUGAAUGAUGAGCUAAGCAUGCAGUUGAUGGUGGCAACAUUUAAUAACUACAAGGAUUUGGUAGAUAGGGCCCUUAUGAUUGAAGUCAAGCAACAAUAGAUAGAGAGUCGCAAAAGGAAGCAUGGACAAGGGAAGUAUAAUUCUGGAGCUCAGCAGAAGCCCCGUUUUACCCCGAACUUGGGAGGACAGACUCAUAACCAUGGAGGCCAUACCCAUAAUGGAGGUAGUUCGCAUAACCACAGUUGCCCUAAGAAUGGGAAUGGGAACGGAGGAAGCAACGGACAUAACCGUUCCAACCCAGCAACACCCGCCAGGAAGGAUCUAAGUCACAUUACUUGUUUCAAGUACGGGAAGACUAGACACUACGCCCUGAAGCAAAGAAUGGAAAUGGCAAUGGAAGCUCAGGGAAGAAGCCAAACCCUUUCACCAGAGGUCAAGUGAACCACAUCAACGUGGAGGAGGUUGAAGAACAGCCUGAUGAAGUGAUCAAUAAGUUUUUGAUUAAGUCAUUUAUCGCUCUCGUUCUUUUUGAUACUGGUGCAUCGCAUUCAUAUAUAUCAAAGGGAUUUGUGGACAAGUUUAAGUUGCCAACCUUAGCCCUUACGUCACCCAUGUUAGUAAUCUCGCCAUGAGCAGAGUAUAUGGCCAGCCGAUGGUGUGAUCGGUUAACCCUAACCAUUGGUAGCCAUGUUUUCCCCUUAGACCUAAUAAUUUUCGAGUCCCAAGGACUGGAUAUAAUAUUAGGCAUGGAUUGGUUAUCGAAGUAUGGAGGAAACAUCGAUUGUGCUAGUAAGAAUUUUAUUCACCACCCCGGAGUGAAAGAGGAUCAAGUAUAUGUCUAGGCAUGCGCCAAGGAGGACCCAAGUGAAUUCUCUCUCGGGAGUUGUUCAGGAAGAAGUGCCUAUUGUGAAUGAUUACUCGGAUGUAUUUCCAAAGGAGCUACCAGGCAUCUCGCCGGAUCGAGACAUGGAAUUUUUGAUAAAGUUGUUGCCAGGCACCGGACCAAUAUCAAAGAGACCGUAUUGGAUGCCCGAAAAUGAUCUAGAGGAAAUUAAGAAGAAGAUUAAUGAGUUAUUGGAGAAGGGUUAUAUCUGACCAAGUUCAUCACCGUGGGGAGCCCCGGUGCUCUUAGUUAAGAAGAAGGAUGGAUCUUUGAGAAUGGUUGUUGAUUAUCGGGCAUUGAAUGAAGUGACGAUCAAGAAGAAAUACCCACUUCCGAUGAUCAAUGAUCUAUUUGACCAGUUCCAAGGAGCUAAAGUAUUCUCCAAGAUCGAUCUUCGAUCAGGAUACCAUCAGCUGAAGAUUCGAGAACAGGAUAUACCUAAGACAGCUUUUACCACAAGGUACGGGCUAUAUGAGUACACGGUCAAGUCAUUUGGACUGACUAAUUCCCCUCCCUAUUUUAUGAGUAUGAUGAACAAGGUGUUCAUGGAGUUUUUGGAUAAGUUUUUUGUGGUGUUCAUUGAUGAUAUUUUGGUGUACUCGAAUAAUGAAUAGGAACACAAGGAACACUUGCGCUUAGUUCUCGAGAAGCUCAGAGAACAUCAGCUAUAUGCCAAGUUUAGCAAGUGUGAGUUUUGGUUGAAGGAAGUUGGAUUUCUUGGACAUGUUAUAUCAGGAGAAGGUAUAGCCAUUGAUCCUACAAAGGUUCAGUCUGUCACUAAGUGGUUGGCACCCACCUUAGUUGGAGAGAUCCGCAGUUUUCUGGAACUUGCAGGAUAUUACAGGAGGUUCUUUGAGAAACCCAUGACAGAGUUGUCAAAGAAGGACACCAAGUUCAAAUGGACCGAAGAUUGUGAGGCCAGUUUUCAGGAGUUGAAGAAACGUUUGGUUACAACCCCAGUGCUGAUUCUUCCGGAUAUACGAAAGGAUUUCCAAGUUUAUUGCAAUGCUUCUCGUUUGGGACAUGGAGGUGUACUUAUGCAAGACGGAAGAGUUGUUUCAUAUGCCUCAGGCAGCUUCGACCUCACGAGUUGAAUUAUGCCACACAUGAUUUGGAGUUAGCAGUCGUAGUGCAUGCGCUCAAGACCUGGAGACAUUUUCUGAUUGGAAAUAUAUGUGAUGUGGACACGGAUCACAAGAUUUUGAAGUACAUUUUCACGCAGAAGGAGUUGAAUCUCAUGCAAAGGAGAUGGUUGGAGCUCAUAAAGGAUUACAAUAUGAAGUUGCAUUAUCAUCUAGGAAAGGCCAAUGUCGUAGCCGACGCUUUGAGCCGCACUUGUAAGCGCAGGAUUACCGCAGGAGUUAGUAGAUGAUCUCAAGGAACUUCAUUUGCAAAUAGUUCCAAGAGGCUUUGUUGCAACAAUGGAGGUUCAGUCUACAUUAUUGGGAAAGAUUCGAUGAGCUCAGAAGGUUGAUAGGGAGAUUGUUGAGAUUAAGGAGAAGAUGAGCAAAGGAAAAGCCAAAGGUUUUCGUGAGGAUGAACACGAGACUUUAUGGUUUGAGGAUCGUGUAUACGUGCCCAAUAAUGCGGAGAUCAGGAUGUUAAUACUUCAGGAAGCUCAUGGCUCGCCAUACUCAAUUCACCCUGGAAACACCAAGAUGUAUUUGGAUUUGAAGGAGCGUUUCUGGUGGACAGGCAAGAAGAAGGAUAUUGCCGAGUAUGUAGCAGUAUGUGACGUAUGUCAGAGAGUGAAGGCAGAGCAUCAGAAGCCAGCCGGAUUAUUACAGCCCAUGCCAAUACCCGAUUGGAAGUGGGACAAGCUUGGCAUGGAUUUCAUCACCGGAUUACCUAGGACCCGAUCAGGAUAUGAUUCCAUCUAGGUAGUAGUUGAUUGCCUGACCAAGGUAGCUCACUUUAUCGCAGUGAAAACCACCUAUACAAGCGCGUAGUUGGCCAAGAUAUAUACGACCUGGAUCAUAUGUCUGCAUGGAGUUUCGAGGACCAUCGUAUCAGAUAUGGGGACACAGUUGACCAUGAAGUUUUGGAAUCAAUUGCACCAGACUUUGGGUACUAUGCUGGAGUUCAGUAUAGCCUUUCAUCCGCAGACAGAUGGACGGACCGAGAGAUUUAAUCGGAUUCUGGAGGACAUGUUGAGAGCAUGUGCGCUAGAUUAUGGAUCUAGUUGGGAUGAUAAUUUACCUUACGCAGAGUUCUCAUAUAACAAUAGUUAUCAGGCUAGUUUGAUGAUAGCACCUUUUGAAGCCUUGUAUGGAAGGAGAUGGAGGACACCAUUAAUGUGGGUUGAAGUUGGAGACCGUCAGUUGUUUGGACCGGAUUUCAUCAAAGAGUCCGAAGAGAAGGUUAAGUUGAUUCGAGAUAGACUGAAGGUAGCUCAGUCCAGGCAGAAGAGUUAUGCCGACACUAAACGCAAGGAGGUAGUCUAUGAAAUAGGAGACAGAGCAUAUCUUCGCGUGUUGCCACUCCGAAGAGUUAAAAGAUUUGGAGUUAAGGGAAAGUUAGCCCCGAGAUUUGUAGAACCAUACCAAGUUCUGGAACGUAUGGGAGAGGUUGCCUACAAAUUGGAGUUACCCGAAGGAUUGUCAGGAGUUCACGAUGUGUUUCACAUUUCCCAAUUGAAGAAGUGCCAUGCUGAGAUGGGCGAUAUUCCCCUAAGAGAUAAAGUGCCUCUUGAAGCAAUUUAGUUGUAGAGUUAUCUAACAUACGAGGAGAAACCCGUCAAGAUUCUUGAGUUUGCAAGCCGAGUUACCCGCACCAAGGUUAUCAAGUUUUGUAAAGUUCAGUGGAGCCACCAUACCGAGGAUGAAGCCACCUGGGAGCGAGAAGAAGACCUACAGAAAGACCACACACACCUAUUUUCUAGCCAACCCGAAUCUCGAGGGAAAGAUUCAUCUUAAGGAGGGUAGGUUUGUAACAUCCCAAUUUGCAAUUCGGAUGUUAUACAUAGGUCAUCAUAUGCAUAUCAUAUUUUAUUUGCAUAUUUGGUUGUGAUCCUAGAAAUCUUAAGCAACUCAAGGACCCAAGGAGAGAGUUGGGGAUUUCAUACAUUUUCAUAUUUGAGUUUUUCUCAAAUUUGAAAAGAGGAUCCAUUUGGUUUUAAUAAUUUUCUCUCUAAUUAUUUCCAAUAUUUAAAUUAAAAUAGAGAAGAUAAUAUGACUUCUUCAAAAAGAGAGGAAUACUGGAGGAGAAAUUUUAAAAUCAAAUUUAUAUUUUAUUUGGUUUUUAUUUGAUAUUUUAUUUGAAUUAGAAAAAUAUGCAUUUUUGGAAAUUGCAUUUUAAGCCAGAAAAAUGCUCACUUCGUUAUAAAUAAUAGGUUUAGACGGUGAAAAUUGUUUUUGGCAUUUUUAGAACUUUUUUAUAUUUUAUAAGGAUUUUAUUCGGGCAGAAUUUUAUUUUAAAAAAUCCUUCCCUCGCCCAACUGGGCCGAAGGCCCAGCCGACCGGUCCAGCAGCCCACAUCGCCGCCGCCUUCCUCCCGCGCGGGGACGAGACCCGCCGCCGCAUGCCGCUGAGGGGAGUCCGAGCCGGACUCCACCCCGCGCCGCCCCCUCGCCCAAGGCCGACCCCCCUAGCCUUUAUAACCACCGCCGCCGCCGCUUCCUCCCUCACCCCUAGCCGCCGCACCACCGCCACCAAGCCGCGUCGUCGCCGCCUUUGCGCCACCGAGCCGCGCCGCCUCGCCCGUGCAGCCGCCUUUCCUCGCCGCCCGCCGGAGUCUGCCGCCGCCGUUUCGUCGUUGCCGAGAAACGGUACAAACCGCCCCGGUUCACCGGUUUAUUUUUGGUUUUUUUCGGUUCUCGGUUUAGAUCGGUUUAAGGUUAGGCUUUUCUCGGUUUUUUCCAAAUGAAUCUAUUUAGGGAACGUUCUUUGUUCUGUUCAUUUUAAUGAACAUGUUCAGUCGUUUGUCCCGACAGUGAACGUUCGUUCGAUAGCCUUUUUCUUUUAUUCUAUUUUCGGCCAGGGACCUAUCUGCGAUUAUUUUUAUCGCAGAUUAGCCCAUGAUCUUCAAGCCCUCACCACUUUUUGCUCGCUCGUCCAAAUCCAGUGAAACCAACGCCAAAAUAUUCGUCUUGUUCCCCUCUUUCUAGUUAGCCAACUUGAAUAUGGAUUUAAAAUUUUAAAAUUUGGUUGCAAGCAGAUUUGAAUUCGAACUUCUUUUGAUCGUAGUUUGAGUUUCGUAGCUCCGAUUUGGUUGAUUCUUUUUGCAAAUGAAAGCUCUUCAGUUGAACUUUCAAUUUGUAUAUUUCUCUUGAGUUUUACCCUUGCAUCUAUUGCUUGAGUGUUUAUGUAUGUUAUUGUUUGUUUGCGACAGAGUUUCCGGAGUGUGAAGCGUGCUACUACGAGUCACUAGGGUUUUCAUAUCGUCAGCAAGGCAAGUAACACUUUGAUCAUACCCCUUAUUACCCAGUUUUUAUGCAUUAUUUCAAUCCUCAAACACUGCAUGGUUAGGACUUGAAUAUUUGUGGGUACUGGGAAGUAGUUAUGAGGUAGUACCUAUUGUCUUUAUUUCAAACCCUGGAAGUUACUUCUACGUUGUGCUUAUACUGCUAUGCUAUGCUCGUAGACGUGGUUUGGUUUGAGUGAUCCAUGACAGAUGUGAGAGUUUUAAUUAAUGGUUAAACUUAAGGUGGCUACUUUAAUACACAUCUAGGUGGAUUGGUUGAGGCAACCAGGAACACCCAGUGGUUGUCUGGGCACCUGGAGCAAUCCAGUUUUGUCCUGGGAUAUCCCGGAGUACCCGUGUGAUCAUCCUACGGUUUGCCACCCAGGCUCGAAGGGAUCAUAAGAUUAUACAUGCUGGAAACUUACGUGUGCAACCACAAGCCAUUAUGGGCUCUGUCAUAGUUGAGUAAGUUGUGUGACCUCUUUCAAUGGUAUGCUAGCAGAUGUAGGGGAUGUAGGUGGUACUGUCUACCCAGAGUAAAUAGUUAAUGCUUCUGAAAGACUGUGUCUUGGUCAUCUGUUUCUCAAACAUCAUGUAGUGUGAGAAAUACAACGGAGGAGAUCGAGUCUUGUGGUGAAAAGUACGCAAACCUCUGCAGAGUGUAUAAACUAAUCAUGGUUAGCCGUGUCCCGGUUAUGGACAUCUUGAGUAUCUGGUACUUGAAUUAUUGAUUUGAUCUCAUCACUCUAUUAAUUAAUUUGUUGGGUUGAUGACUAUAUAAUUUGGGAUUGACUUGGAGGAACCUUCUCAAUGUUUACCACAAAUUUUGUAGUUAAAUAAAAUAUAUUCCUUUGGUGUAGGGAAAAAUUAGCUUUCUGCAAAAAUAACCAUAGAGCCUCCACUAGCCAAGUAUGCAUAUAGUUAUAGCUGCUACAUGUUCAUUGCUCUAUAGUGUUAUUUUUCCAGCAUAUUCCAUGUGCUGACCCAUUUCGGGCUGCAACGUAUUAUGUUGCAGACAUUUCAGACGAAGAGUAAGGUGCGCUAGGUCGUUGUCGUGCACUCAGCAAUGCCGUCGGAGUUGAUGGACUCAUUUUACCUUUGAAGCGUCUGAUGUUAUCUUCAUUAGAUGGCCUUCAGCUGUAUUAUUGCAAUAAGUACUCUCUUUUGAGAUAUUCGAUGUAAUAAGUGUGUGAUUGAACUCUGUUAUAAAUCCUUCAAGUACUGUGUGUGUGUGUCAGCAUUACCGAUCCUGGGAUGACACUUAUACGCAGAUAUUUGACCGCUUGAGGUCGAAUCGCUACAGCCAAGCCAGGCCGAUCAGUUCGUGUCGGGCUUUUUCGGGCUUGAGCCAGGCUUGGGCUGUAUUUAGUAGGCCUGACGGUCAGGCUGAGCCAGGUUCGGGCCUGGGUUUUCAGCACCGGCCGUGGUGGAAAGUAGGGGCGGGGCGGUGGGGGGAGGGGCCGGAUCUGGUGGCUUGGGUGACAGGGGCGAUAGGUGGCAAGGAGCGUGGGUGGACUGCCGGAGAUGAAGAAGAUGGCGGGGAUUUGGGGUGCGGCUGCGAGGAUCUGUGGGGACUGGGGCUUGGGGCCGACCGUGCGGGGAAGAGAGUAAGAUCGUGGGUGGAGUGGGUCAGGUGGGGUGGUCUUUAUCUUUCUUUCUUUGGUGCGCCUCAGGGUCGGUUCGGUGGGUGUGUGUGCAGAAUAAGGUUUCUGUUGUUAGAAUAAGGUCUUAAGGGGUGUUGUUCGAAUAGACCCACUCAAUUUAUAUGGCUUGUUCCCUAUAAUGACUACGAUGAGGGAUAUUCUAUGGCUUGUUUCAUAGUGUUGUGGGACUUCCAAAUUUUUUUUUAAUUUCUCAUUAUUUGACGUGAUAAUGAUGAUUUAUUUUUCUGUGUCGUCGCAAUAAAAUGAUUUUAGUGACACAAUGGAAAAAAUAUGCUAAAUCAAAAAUUAUAAAUAGCUUAUUAUUAAUUUAAUUGUAUGAACUGAAUCAGGUUUCACACAAACAAUAUAAGCAUUCACCUUCACGCAAUAUUUCUAGUACAUAUAUAAACUCAUUUCAUGGUAGUUCUCAGUUCUUUCUGCAGCAGCAUGUGCUACUACUGCCUUCAACACAACUGCUCUUAUCCUUGUCAUAACCUCGGUUAAUACAGUUAGCUUUGCACGCAAUGUUGCCACUAGCUCGGUCUGGUGGCGAACAAUAGUCCACAGUUGUACACAGGUCAGUAUCUGUGCACAAAUCACAAUAGAGAUACCUCAAUCAACACAUAUAUAACCCACCAGGAAAAUAUAUAUUUGUGUAUCCAAAUACGAGUGAAGAGAUUAUGAAAGAAAGAAGAAAACCAUACCUAUGUAACGCCCUGUUGCAUGACAUGAGAAGACAGUGGUGGCCAUGGCUACAAGAGCUACCAAGCAUAGGGCCUGUGUGUAGUUAAGCAUACCGGCCAUGGGAGAUAGUUAGCUAUUCCUUUUCUGCUAAUGUUGUUUGUUGAUUUUGCCGAACUCAAGUUCUUUGCCUAUGUGCUUGUUUUUAUAUUGAGCGAAACUAGCAGGCUUGGAGCUUAACACGGAAGAAAAACUUGGAGUAAAUUUAUUUCAUUCCUCCUAUAGCUUUGUAGUAAAUAAAUGCCUCUUUGUACAAAGGCUUGCUAUAAUCUCCACAAUAAAUUCUAGCCAUUUAAUCAUAUUAUGUAUUAAUGCAUCAUUAUCUGCAUUGUGUUAAUGCUUCCUUAUCCUCAUUAAUAUAUGCUUGGUAGAUGAGCCUAUUAUACAUGUGGUUUACUUUAUCCCAUGGUAGUUCUGAUACAGAGUGCCCUCACCCACACUCAUUGAUACAGAAAAAGUAGAGUUGUGCUCAUGAGUAGGGAUGAAGACAAAGCAAAAUGCACAAAACUUAGUCCUGCCACAUUAUUUUUGUAUUUCUAAAUGCAUAAAUGAAUAACAAAACCAAGCAAACGAAUAUACAAACAAAUCAUAUUGGAAAUAGAUACAUACCAAAUAUGCUAUCAACACAAAUAAAAAAGCUAUGGAUGGGUGCUUGACAUGGUGCCAUCACGACAGCAAUCUGAUGUCCCUAACACUUGGUUGCGCUAAUACGCCUACUCAUUUACUUGAUUUGGCAGUAGAAUAAAUUAGGUUGAGUUCAUUCAUCACACGGGGUGCAAAAUAAGUUAUUCUUCACUCGCGAUAAUGUUACAUAAUUUCAUAAAUAAAUUAUAUUCGAAAUAAAAAUCGUUACAUUCAUAUUGAUUCACCGCGUAAAAUGUGGCAUAAGAAAAAAAGGUCAUAAGACCAGAAACAUUGCAUUCUAUGUACAUUUUACACUAAGUUUUUACAUUUAUAUCUUAUGUAACAUAACAUAUUUUUACGGCGAUUAUAUAUUUUCAUACAUUUUUUUUACAUCUGAAAUAAGACAAAAUUUAUGGAACAUAAAAGUACUGUGCAUUAAUAAAAUAGAGGGGGGGUGAACAAUAACUAUUCCUCACCAAGGGUGACGAAUAUAUAAUUUUACGUUCUGACCACCACGCGCACCAACAAAUUAAACUAAACUGUAACGCGUGCCUACACCCACCGUAGAAGCAAACACUUCAUUUGAUAGUCAAACAAUUACCAUGUAGUAAAUCUAAGCAACCCGAUCAUACAACCAUUAUUAUGUAGUAAAGUUUAAGAAAUAUUUCCUUCUAGUCGAUGUUAUUUCCAUAAACUUCUAAACCUCCUCCGGAGGCAAAAAGAACUACACUACAAUAUUAGCAGAAAAAAUUCCAUGCCCUAUUUGGGUACUGCUUGCGAUAUUAAACCAUUCGUUGGAAGGAGACAUGUAAUAUACCGUUGAAAAGCUAUGAAUUAGGCGCAACUGUGCCACAUUGAAUACUUUUCUAUAUUCGUCACGGUUUAAAAGCAGUGUAAAAAAGGGUGCGGCACCCGAUCAGUGGUAGCGAGUGUAUUUUCGUGUUUUUUCUGAACGGCUUGUCAGAAUUAUGCAAAUCAUAUGUUGUUGGAAAUAUAUCAUCGAGGCGCAACUUUUUAAUAUACAAUACUCUCUCUAAUUCUUUACGGUCUAAGAGCAGUUUCAAAUUUACCAAAACAAGAAAACUUUGUUUUUCAAAUUUUGAGAUUUUCCGUUCCGGUUUUUGCUGCAAUUUUUUAACCACGUGAGUUUUGGUUGUCUUUUUCAUACUUAUCUUUUUAAGCGCGUGGACCUGCCGAGUGGACAGCAUGGACUGAGCGAGCGAAUCGCACUGCGUCGAGAAGUGAACCAAUUUUUGUUGUUGUUGUUUUCCUAAUAUUUUCGCAUUUCACAUUGGAAACAAGUGAACAAGAUCACUCUUGAAAGUGUACCACGGGGCAUAAACUAGUAAACUACAUCUGAAAAGAAGUGAACUUCUUAUGAUGUUUUUCUUUUUCCCGUUUUACAAAGUGAACUACAGAAGAUGUUUACACUAAACCGCAUCCCAAGUAAUCUCUUUUUUUGUCAAUAUGGACUGCAUCCCACCAUGUCUGGAUUAUUUUUCUACUGCAUACGACAACCGAAUUUUGAGCAAUGAGCAAUGAACCAUGGUGGUUUCCCACAUUCUUUUGUCUUGUUUUAUACGAGCGAACCACAUAGUUGUGGCAAAUGAACUACACUUGUGUUUUCUAUUAGUUGGCAUGGAAUCUAAAUGAACCGCAUCAGUUCUUUUUGUCUUUUUAUAAUAAAAAAAUACAAAUAUAUAUGGAAUUCAUGCUCAAACUUAGGAACUGCAAUUGUUUUUCAUGAUUAUGUACUAUGGGGAUCAUUUCUAUUUUUUCACUUUUAGUAUUUUAUAUAGAGGGGAAGAAAAUGAACUGCAAUACUUCUUUUUUUCUCACGGGUGUGUACUGUAAAAAUGGACCUAAAACAAAUAAUCAAGAUUACAAUCUGGUCCUUUUGGACACGCCUUGGAUGUGACUACUCGUCACCAUCCUCAGCUGCCAUCGUGGCCGAACAACAUGCCCCCAACUAGACGUCUUAGCGCCGGUAAGUGCAUUGUGUCAUGUAGGGAUUCAAACUACAAUGGUGUUGAACAUAGAGCUCGCUAGAAACCAAGCCAUUGUUUGUCGUUGUCUCUCAGUGUGCCCAUCACCUGCAUAGAGACACACACUGAACCACAUCUGGAGCCCCCACUCCACCAGCAUGUACAAAUCGCAUGCCACAUGAAUGUCAUCUUCACGCAAAUGGAGCUGCAAUCAAAAUAAGAAGCACACUUUACUAAACAUUGCCCAAAUUAAAAAUAGCGAACUACAAAAAAUUAAUUUUUUUGGAAAAGGUGAUGCACGUACUACACUUGAGUUUCCCUUCACACUGCAUGUCCGGGAUGCCUUGACUGCAAGGGGAGGAGGGCAGCUCAUCGAGUAGUACUGCAUGGGCGUGCGGUGAUGAUCAGCGAACUCCACGUGGUGCGCUGCCGAGCUGCACCAGAAAAAAGGGGAUGGAGGUCAGCAGGAUGGGGCGCUCGUCAAUCCAAGCCGAACAACACGAGAGGAGUAACCGAAUUGCCUACAAAUCCAACAUGAACCUCGCCGAAGUGGAGGUGGAGUUCCUGGUGUAGUUUUGCCACGGCAAAUGUCCUUGUGAGAAGACUAAGUUGUGGAGCCAUCUCCGCUAGAAGGAAACUUGGAUGGGGUUGAUCGCAACAUGAUAAGACUCGAUUUUACUGAGGUUCGACCCCUCAUGGUGGAGGUGAAAGCCUACAUCCUGCUUGAUUGCUAUUGAUUCUCAUGGUCCUGAUUACAAGGGCGCUAUUUUGCUACCUAUGUCUCGAGAGCUAUCAAAACAUGCGUCUGUCUCGAGACCUAUGAAAACAUCUCUCUCGAUACUUGUCUAUCUAGAAACUCGUGCUACUCAUGACCCUGGGACUCGCUUUAUAUCAUAGUUGAGUCCAUGGGGUUACAAGAGAUUCCGGGUUAUACCCACGGUCGAAGUCCUACUCUAAAUCCCCUAAAUCCUCCAUGUCUUCCAGGUCUGGCAUUUCCAUCUUGUAUUUGGACUCCUUGGUGGAAUUUCAUCUAAGUCCAGGUCAUGUAGCAGGCCGGGUCAAGAUUGUAGCCAGGUCAAGAUUGUGGCCGGGUCAAGAUUGUGGUUGGGUCAUGAUUGUAACUAGCUGACUUAACUCCACAAAUGACUUAACUCUAGAGUUGACUUAUCCUCAGAUCCUGGUCUACCCAUGGGUAACUCCCCCGACAGUUCCUCUUGCUCCCGCCUGCAUAGGGGUGCUGGAGGCAUGUUGGCCAUUGACGCAUUUGUGGAGGCAGCCUAGGAUCUGUGAUAGCUUGCACACGCGUCAGGAUCCACCAGAGAAGGGGGAACUGGAAAAGGUUGCUUGAGAAGGGACGUGAUAUUGGGCCAACGGUGGGAGGCCGAUACGUCUCCGACAUAUCUAUAAUUUUUUAUUGUUCCAUGCUAUUAUAUUAUAUGUUUUGGAUGUUUUAUAUGCAUUAAUAUGCUAUUUUAUAUUAUAUUUGGGACUAACUUAUUAACCCAGAGCCCAGUGCCAAUUUAUAUUUUUUCCUUGUUUUUGAGUUUUACAAAAAGAUAUCAAAUGGAGUCCAAACGGAAUAAAACUUGACGAUGAUUUUUCUUGGAUCAGAAGACGCACAUAGGACUUGGAGACCAAGGCAGAAGAGUCCUGAGGUGGUGGCAAGGGUGCAGGGCGCGCCCCAGGGGGGGCGCCCCCUACCUUGUGGGUCCCUCGAAGCUCCUCUAACCCUAAUCUUCGGCCUAUAAAUUUAGAAAUAUUCCAAACCAUCAGAGGCAUCCAUGAAAAUACUUUUCCACCGCCACAAGCCUCUGUUCCCGUGAGACACAUCUUGGGGCCUUUUCCAGCAAUCUGCCGAAGGGGGAUUUGAUCACGGAGGGCAUCUACAUCAACCUUAUUGCCCUUCCGAUGAUGCGUGAGUAGUUUACCUUAGACCUACAAGUAUAGAGCUAGUAGCUAGAUGGCUUCUUCUCUCUCUAUGAUCUUCAAUACCAAGUUCUCCUCGAUGUUCUUGGAGUUCUAUCCGAUGUAAUAUUCUUUUCUGGUGUGUUUGUCGACAGCCAAUGAAUUAUGAAUUUAUGAUCAGAAUAUCUAUGAAUAUUAUUUUAUCUUCUCUGAAUUUUUAUAUGCUUGAUUUGGUAUCUUUGUAUUUCUCUUCGAAUUAUCAGUUUGGUUUGGCCAACUAGAUUGGUAUUUCUUGCAUUGGGAGAGGUGCUUAGUUUUGGGUUCAAUCUUGCGGUGUCCUCACCCAGUGACAUAGUAGGGGUAGCGAGGCAUGUAUUGUAUUGUUGCCAUCAAGGAUAAAAAAUAGGGUUUUCAUAAUAUUGCUUGAGUUUAUUCCUCUACAUCAUGUCAUCUUACUUAAGGCAUUACUUCGUUCUUUAUGAACCUAAUACUCUAGAUGCAUGUCGGAUAGCGGUUGAUGUGUGGAGUAAUAAUAGUACAUGCAGGCAGGAGUUGGUCUACUUGACACGGACAUGAUGCCUAUAUGCAUAAUCGCCUUGGAUAUCGUCAUAACUUUGCGCUUUUCUAUCAAUUGCUCGAUAGUAAUUUGUUCACCCACGGUAUGUUUUCUUUCAAGAGAGAAGCCUCAAGUGAAACCUAUGGCCCCCAGGGUCUAUUUUCCAUCAUAUAUUUUUGGAUCUAUAAACCAAAAAACCCCAAAAUACCUUGCUGCAGUUUUUUUACGUUUUAGUAAUAUUUUAUAUCUAUCUCUGUCAGAUCUCACCAUUGCAAUUGAUCAUGAAGGGAUUGACAACCCCUUUAUCACGUUGGGUGCAAGUGUUUGAUUUUUUGUGGAGGUGCAUAGAUUGGAGACUUGAUUGUACCUCCUACUGGAUUGAUACCUUGGUUCUCUAACUGAAGAAAAUACUUUUCUCUACUUUGCUGCCUCACCCUUUCCUCUUCAAGGGAAAAACCAACGCAAGCUCAAGAAGUAGCAUGAAGAAUUUCUGGCGCCGUUGCUGGGGAGGUUCGACAUCAAUACUACCAAGUACCCAUCAUAAACUCUCAUUUCUUGCAUUACAUUAUUUGCCAUUUGCCUCUCGUUUUCCUCCCGCCACUUCUAACACAAUUUUUAGAAAACAAAAAAAUAUUUGCAUUUUUAUUCUCCCUUCUUUCGCUCGUAUUUUCGUUUACUUUUUUGUUUGCUAGAAUUCCCGUACGGCUCAACCCAAAAGCUUUGAUCCUUAUUUUAGGAAGUUAGAAGAGAUUGAAAGUAAUGCUAAAAGUUUCAUGACUUUACAAUAUGAGUAUAACGAUUUCUUUAGAAACGAGCUUAAAGAACAAAAAACUAUGAUAGGGUAUAUUAAUAAAGAUCUUGAUGACAUGUCUAAGGAAUUUUAUGGUUUGAAAUCUCAGUUUUCUCAUUGAAAAUUUAGUAGGAAAAAUUUAUGAUAAGCAUGCUACUUGAGUAAAUAAGAUGGCCGCUAAACCGGAGUCUUUGAAUAAUGAUGAAGAUCUUAAAUUGAUUGAUGUGACUCCUAUUGAAUCUUUGUUUUCUAAUAUAAAUCUUGAUAAUAUGGGACUCGAGAUGAGUCAACUUUAGCUAGAAGGCAUCCCAAUGAUUCGGAGUUUAUAGAUCUUGAUGCAAAAGUUGAUAAAAGUGGGAUUUGAGUGGUCAAAACUUUAAGUAGCAAUGAAUCCGCUCUUUUGGAUUUAAAGGACUUUAAUUAUGAUAAUUGUUCUUUGAUAGAUUGAAUUUCCUUGUUGCAAUCCAUGUUGACUUCUCCUCAUGCUCAUUAUCAAAAUAAAGCAUUUACUAAACAUAUUGUUGAUGCCAUGAUGAAAUAUUUUGAAGAAAAACUUGAGUUGGAAGUUUCUAUCCCUAGAAAGCUUUAUGAUGAGUGGGAACCUGCUGUUAAGUUAAAAUUAAAGAUUAUGAGUGCCACGCUUUGUGUGAUUUGGGUGCUAGCAUUUCCACCAUUCCAGAAACUCUAUGUGGUGUGUUAGGUUUCCGUGAAUUUGAUUAUUGGUUUUUAAAUUUGCAUCUGGGGGAUUCCACUAUUAAAAAACCUAUAGGAAUAAUUAAUGAUGUUCUUAUUGUUGCAAAUAGUAAGUAUGUGCCCGUAGAUUUCAUUGUUCUUGAUAUAGAUUGAAAUCCUACAUGUCCUAUUAUUCUUGGUAGACCUUUCCUUAGAACAAUUCGUGCAAUUAUUGAUAUGAAAGAAGGAAACAUUAGAUUUCAGUUUCCAUUAGGCAAACACUUUCUAAGAAAGAAAAUUAAGUUGCCAUAUGAGUGUAUUAUGAUAGCUACUUAUGGAUCGCAUACCAAAGAUAACAAUACCUAGAUCUAUUACAAUAUUCCUAGCUAGGGCGUUAAACAAUAGCGCUUGUUGGGAGGCAACCCAAUUUUAUUUUUGUGUUUUUUGUUUUGCUUCUAUUCUUGAAUAAAAUACACAUUAUUACCUCUAUAGUAAUUGUGUUUUGGUGUUUUUAAUUAGUGUUUGUGCCAAAUAAAGCCUUUGGGAUACUUUGGUAUAUCAUUGAUUUGAUCUUGCAUAAACUUCUACGCUCAUUGCCAGCAUUGUUAAAAAUCACAUAAGCGUGAUAAAAUCCUGAAGGUGGGGUGGGGCGGUGGGGGAGAGGGGCCGGAUCUGGUGGCUUCGGUGACAUGGGGCGAUAAGUAGCUGGGAGCAUGGGUCGACUGCGAGAGACAAAGAAGAUGGUGGGGAUUUGGGGUGCGGCUGCAAGGGUCUGUGGGGAGUGGGGCUUGGGGCCGACCGUGCUCGGGGGUGAGUGAGAUCGUGGGAGGAGUGGGCCUGGGGUCUUGUUAGAGUAGACCCACCCUAUAUAUGGCUUGUUCCCUACAACGACUACAAUCAGGGAUAAUCUAUGGCUUCUUCCAUUGUGGUGUGAGAAUUCCAAUCUUCUUGAUUAAUUUCUCAUUAUUUGAUGUGAUAAUAAUGAUUUAUUUUUGUGUGAAAAUAGAUACUAAAUAAACAAUUAUCAUUAGAUUAUUAUUAAUUUAUUUGUAUGAACUGAAUCAGGUUUCACACAAACAAUAUAAGCAUUCCCCUCCACGCAAUAUUUCUAGUACAUAUAUAAACUCAUUUCAUGGUACUUCUCAGUUCUUUCGGCAGCAACAUGUGCUACUACUGCCUUCCAUGCAACUGCUCUUAUCCUUGUCAUAACCUCGGUUAACACAGUUAGCUUUGCACGUAAUGUUGCCACUAGCUCGGUCUGGUGGUGAACAAUUGUCCAGAGUUGUACACAGGUCAGUAUCUGUGCACAAAUCACAAUAGAGAUACCUCAAUCAACACAUAUAACCCACCAGGAAAAUAUAUGUUUGUGUAUCCAAAUACGAGUGAACAGAUUGUGAAAGAAAGAAGAAAACCAU
rnacentral:lncRNA from 1 species